rnacentral:rRNA from 1 species
GACGAACGCUGGCGGCGUGCUUAACACAUGCAAGUCGAACGGAAAGGCCCUGCUUUUGUGGGGUGCUCGAGUGGCGAACGGGUGAGUAACACGUGAGUAACCUGCCCUUGACUUUGGGAUAACGUCAGGAAACUGGGGCUAAUACCGGAUAGGAGCUCCUGCUGCAUGGUGGGGGUUGGAAAGUUUCGGCGGUUGGGGAUGGAUUCGCGGCUUAUCAGCUUGUUGGUGGGGUAGUGGCUUACCAAGGCUUUGACGGGUAGCCGGCCUGAGAGGGUGACCGGCCACAUUGGGACUGAGAUACGGCCGCGACUCCUACGGGAGGCAGCAGUGGGGAAUAUUGCACAAUGGGCGGAAGCCUGAUGCAGCAACGCCGCGUGCUGGAUGACGGCCUUCGGGUUGUAAACCGCUUUCUCCUGUGACGAAGCGUGAGUGACGGUAAUGGGUAAAGAAGCACCGGCUAACUACGUG